rnacentral:rRNA from 1 species
AUGCAAAGAACACGUUCCAAGGGAGUGCACACAGACUCUGACGCAGUUCAACUCCGGCCAGUGUACUAUGGAGGAUGUAUUGGCUACGGCCAAAGACCCCUUGCUGAUAACCACUCUUAUUGCCGGAGGGUCCAUGUCUUUCUUGUACUAGCAGAGGUGCAGAGCAUUGAUGGUGCUCCUGAAGAAAUUAGGAUGCAGAAACUACAGGGCGUACUAAUUACCAUGAACAGGAAUACAAGAACCUUCAGAAAUUCAGUGCUUAUUGCCCUUCUGCGUGCCCAACUGCUGUUCAUGACGGACAAGCUUGUUGAUUCUUCCAAUGAGAUUGAAAGAGCAUUAGACAUCAGUGAUCCAAGUGACCCAGGAGAAGAGGACGUCCCAGUUGGAUCAACUGAAGGACUGGACCCUGAUACCCGGAUCAGUGCUGUCAAGACAGAAUUGCAUGAGUUCCUCACUUAUAUCUAUGCUGCUCUCGAAUCGAAAGAUGCUCCAUCCCCCUCCCAGGACGCAAGCAGGCCUAGGAGACAGAGUUCAAAAAGGAAUUAUGCUUUUAUGUACACGCGCAUUGGAAGAAAGUACCAGGAGCCGCCGCUCAAAUUCAUUGGUAUUGAGGCCCCGAAGACGGUUGCAGAGCCAGUAACAUAUCCAGUCCAUUAUGUUCGUGGUAUAUUGGUGCCGGUCGAGGAGUGGAAUUUGUACGGAGACUUCUGUGCCAAAAGAUCGACCUGCACGGAUGAGCAGAUGGCAUGUCAUCUGUGUUGCUUUGAGGGGGCAGCUACACUCAUUCUUCUCAAACGCGAUGAAACUCUACAUUACCAAAGCAAACACGCGUGGGUGGAUUCCAUCAAAUGCAAGGAAGCUGGGUGCCUCGUGCGUGUCAGAAACCAGGUGGCCCUCGAUCGUCACUGCUACUUUGCGCACCGUCUACCUCCUGAUUGGUGGACCAUCACUUGA